rnacentral:misc_RNA from 1 species
GAUGAUGAACGUAGCGAAAUGCGAUAAGUAAUGUGAAUUGCAGAAUUCAGUGAAUCAUCGAAUCUUUGAACGCACAUUGCGCCCCCUGGUAUUCCGGGGGGCAUGCCUGUUCGAGCGUCAUUUCACCACUCAAGCCUCGCUUGGUAUUGGGCAACGCGGUCCGCCGCGUGCCUCAAAUCGACCGGCUGGGUCUUCUGUCCCCUAAGCGUUGUGGAAACUAUUCGCUAAAGGGUGCUCGGGAGGCUACGCCGUAAAACAAACCCAUUUCUAAGGUUGACCUCGGAUCAGGUAGGGAUACCCGCUGAACUUAAGCAUAUCAAUAAGCGGAGGA